GGCCUGAUGGUCUAGUAGUAUGAUUCUCCCUUCGGGCGGCUUGCUCGCAGCUUGAGGCUGCUAGAUUGGGAGAGGUCCCGGGUUCAAUUCCCGGUUAGGCCC